rnacentral:ncRNA from 1 species
GUAAAUGCGUUUGAGAAAAAAGUAGUAGACGGCUAAUCUAUUCAGAGACUCUGUGGUUGGUGCGAACAGAGUGGGUGGCUGAUCGAAUUCAUUUUUCGAGCAGAAAAUGGGAGUUUACGAUAACAAAAAUUUUCCGGUAAUCACCGUUAAUGAUGCUUAAGAGUGUUACUUUUUAGUGACAAAUUAGGGUGGUACCGCGAAACUUCGUCCCUGGG